rnacentral:tRNA from 4 species
AGUCCUGUAGUGUAGUGGUCCAUCAUCUCGGGUUUUGGUCCCGGGGACGUCGGUUCGACUCCGACCAGGACUA